GACAAGGAGUGGAAUCACCGUGUGCCUAAUUCCGACCGUACCGCGGGUUGAUGCGAUGUCAGGCGUCUUAUGAAUGCCGUGCGAUCCACUGGCGUCAGGCGUCCAGUCGGUGUCAGACAUCCAGUCGGUGUCAGACGUCCCAUUCCGUCGGCGUCAGGUGUCACGUCGGCGUCAGGAGGUCGGAUGUCGGACGAUUCGGUGUCAGACGAUCGGAUGUCCGGCGCCUUUUGGGGAACGCAAACCGUCGCCCGACGCCGAUUCUGGGAGCGCGGGGCGCUGUCAGGCGUCCCAUCGGAAACGCGAAUCGCC
rnacentral:lncRNA from 1 species